CCUACGGGAGGCAGCAGUGGGGAAUAUUGCACAAUGGGGGAAACCCUGAUGCAGCAACGCCGCGUGAAGGAAGACGGUUUUCGGAUUGUAAACUUCUGUUCUUAGUGAAGAAUAAUGACGGGAGCCAAGGAGCAAGCCACGGCUAACUAAGUGCCAGCAGCCGCGGUAAUACGUAGGUGGCAAGCGUUGUCCGGCAUUACUGGGUGGAAAGGGAGCGCAGGCGGGAAGCCAAGUCAGAUGUGAAAUCCACGGGCUCAACCCGUGAACUGCAUUUGAAACUGUUUCCCUUGAGUGUCGGAGAGGUAAUCGGAAUUCCUUGUGUAGCGGUGAAAUGCGUAGAUAUAAGGAAGAACACCAGUGGCGAAGGCGGAUUACUGGACGAUAACUGACGGUGAGGCGCGAAAGCGUGGGGAGCAAACAGGAUUAGAUACCCGGGUAGUC
rnacentral:rRNA from 1 species